AUUGAACGCUGGCGGCAUGCCUUACACAUGCAAGUCGAACGGUAACAGGUCUUCGGAUGCUGACGAGUGGCGAACGGGUGAGUAAUACAUCGGAACGUGCCUAGUAGUGGGGGAUAACUACUCGAAAGAGUGGCUAAUACCGCAUGAGAUCUACGGAUGAAAGCAGGGGACCGCAAGACCUUGUGCUACUAGAGCGGCCGAUGGCAGAUUAGGUAGUUGGUGGGAUAAAAGCUUACCAAGCCGACGAUCUGUAGCUGGUCUGAGAGGACGAUCAGCCACACUGGGACUGAGACACGGCCCAGACUCCGACGGGAGGCAGCAGUGGGGAAUUUUGGACAAUGGGCGAAAGCCUGAUCCAGCAAUGCCGCGUGCAGGAUGAAGGCCUUCGGGUUGUAAACUGCUUUUGUACGGAACGAAAAGCCCCGGGUUAAUACCCUGGGGUCAUGACGGUACCGUAAGAAUAAGCACUGGCUAACUACGUGCCAGCCGCCGCCGUAA
rnacentral:rRNA from 1 species